rnacentral:rRNA from 1 species
ACGUCAAGUCCUCAUGGCCCUUAUGGGCUGGGCUACACACGUGCUACAAUGGCAGUGACAGUGGGAAGCAAGACCGCGAGGUGGAGCAAAUCCCCAAAAACUGUCUCAGUUCGGAUUGUACUCUGCAACUCGAGUGCAUGAAGUCGGAAUCGCUAGUAAUCGCGGAUCAGCAUGCCGCGGUGAAUACGUUCUCGGGCCUU